GGGAGUGAUUGUUUCGAUGAUAUGUUCUUUAAAAUAAAGCAAGUUGAGUGUUCUCAAAUCUCAUUAAACUCUGAGAAAAAACAUAAUUGCUAAUUUAUUUAAUAAGCAACCAGCAUUAGCAUACGUUUAAUGCUGCAUCCUUGCCAUUGACUCCUAAUAAAUGGAUUUAGGGUGUUAUAUUAUUAGGAUAGAUAAUUUAGAUUCUCUGAUAAAUUAUUGAAACUAAAGAGAUAAGGCGUUAAAAAUUUUGUUAGUUUUAUAUUUAACGCUCGAACAACAAAACUGACUAAGCUUGUAGAUUUAUUUUAAAAAAUUUAUCAGACGGGAUUUCAAUAUCCCCACUUCCACUA
rnacentral:tmRNA from 1 species